GACCGACUUCACAGCAUUAGCCACCUGCAAGUCUACCUCAUUAUUGAACUCAAUGAUUUUCUUCUUCAAUUCAUCAUCCAAAUCGCUUGCUGAGGAUGCUCGCUGGAUUUCAGACUGUAAUGCCUCAUAGUUUUCCUUUAUUCUAGGAUUAUUCAUGACAUCAUCAAAUUUCUUCUUCAGUUCUUGCGUAAGUGUUGCGGCCUCCUUGUUUAUUUUUGAAGAAGCGACCUCCUUGUUUCUAUCUGACAGAAGAAGCUUCACUUUAGUCAAUUCGUCAUGCUUCUUCUUCAGCUUGUUAGCAUUAGGAGCUGCUGACAACCUUCGAUUAAAAUCUGCCUGUAGUUUUUCUAUCUUACCCUUCAGCAAUGGAUCAAGAGGUUGGUCAUCUGAACUUGCUUUUGAAAAUUCAUCACGUAGUUUCGACAAACUUUAUGUUAAGCCCAAGGCUUUAGCAGCCUCAGACAAUUCUUGAUCAACCUCCUUUUCCAGUUUCUCUUCCAGUUUCUUUAGCGUCUCAUCUAAAUCGAGUUUCGGAGGCUGAGAAGAGGACUUCAAAAUUUGUUGCUUCAGCUUCUCAAUCUGAACUUCUACUUUAGAGUCAGAAAUUUUCGCAGGAGGUAUAUCCUUGUUUCUAUCUGACAGAAGAAGCUUCACUUUAGUCAAUUCUUUCAACAUGCCAUGCUUCUUCUUCAGCUUGUUAGCAUUAGGAGCUGCUGACAACCUUCGAUUAAAAUCUGCCUGUAGUUUUUCUAUCUUACCCUUCAGCAAUGGAUCAAGAGGUUGGUCAUCUGAACUUGCUUUUGAAAAUUCAUCACGUAGUUUCGACAAACUUUGUGUUAAGCCCAAGGCUUUAGCAGCCUCAGACAAUUCUUGAUCAACCUCCUUUUCCAGUUUCUCUUCCAGUUUCUUUAUCGUCUUAUCUAAAUUGAGUUUCGGAGGCUGAGAAGAGGACUUCAAAAUUUGUUGCUUCAGCUUCUCAAUCUGAACUUCUACUUAAGAGACAGAAAUUUUCGCAGGAG
rnacentral:lncRNA from 1 species